CGUUAUUCCUUCUCCAUGUUAUAAGGUAUUUCAAAUUUGGACCCUUAGUGGUCUCCCAGUGAUUGCGGUCACCUAAGUCUCUCUGCUAAUUACUAAUUUCAGGUCACAUGUAAGUGGUCCUUCGUUGCCUCUAGGUUUACCACCACAGGUAAGUCAACAGGUAGCACUCGGCCUUAUCACUCCUAACAGGACACACAAACCCUACGUUUUCC